AUGGCAGACCAGGAGGAAGCGAGGCCAACCAAGAAGGCACGCGGGUCCUCGCCGCCACCUGCCAUGGGCUCCGGUAGCCUGACGGCGUUUGCGCUCCGCCUGGCUAAGAAGCUCGCUGAGGGCGACGACACCAUGAACAGCAACAUCGCCUUCUCGCCGCUGUCCCUCUACACCACGCUUGGUCUGGUGGCCGCCGGAGCCCGCGGCAGAACCCUGGAUGAGCUCCUAGCCCUGCUCGGUGCCGCAUCGGCUGACGAGGUCGCCAGAUUCGUACGCGGCCUCGCCGCUGACCCGUCCGGGUCCGGUGGGCCGAUCAUCACCUACGCCUAUGGUGUGUUUCACCAGAAACACAAGGAGCUCACGCCGGACUUUCUCCACACCGCCACCGAGUCCUACAGCGCCGAAAUACGCGCAGUGGACUUCGCUAAGGAUGAGGUCAGGGAGGAGACCAGGAAGGAGAUCAACCUGUGGGCGGCGGCAGCGACGAACAAUCUCAUCUUGGAGAUCUUGCCCGAGGGUUCAUUGACCGACCUCUCGAGGUUCGUGCUCACCAACGCCAUCUACUUCAAGGGUGCGUGGGAGACCCGCUUUCCCAAGAAGCUCACCGAAGACCGCGAGUUCUACCGCCUUGACGGCGCUGAUCCCGUGGAAGUCCCCUUCAUGACCCUGCCAGGAGAAUGCCAGCUCUUCGUCUCAUACAACGAAGGCUUCAAGGUGCUGAAGCUCCCGUACAAGGCUGGUGACGAUGCCAUGUCGCGGUACUCCAUGUGCGUCUUCCUCCCGGACGAGGAAGAGGGGUUGCAUGACAUGGUCCGCUCUCUGGAGGAGGUGGGCGGCUCCCUGCUCGACCACGUGCCGAUGUACCAUAGCAGCGUGAGGGAGAUUCUGCUGCCCAUGUUCAAGCUGUCAUUCUUCUGCGGUCUCUCCAAAGUCCUUCGUGGCCUAGGAGUCCAGGAGGCAUUCAGCAAGGAGGCCGACCUGUCCGGUAUCAUGGAGAAGAGCGUCUGCGACGUGCGCUUGGACGAGGUGUUCCACAAGGCCGUCGUCGAAGUGAACGAGGAAGGCACCGUGGCAGCUGCGUGCACUGCCGUCGUUGGCCGCAAGAAGCAAUGUGCAAGGAGAUCGUUGGAGUUCAUCGCCGACCACCCGUUCGCGUUUUAUAUCGUGGAGGAGGUGUCAGGGGCCGUGGUCUUUGCCGGUCAUGUACUCGACCCUUCUAGCUCACAGUAA
rnacentral:rRNA from 1 species